AAUGAACGCUGGCGGCAUGCCUAACACAUGCAAGUCGAACGAAGGCUUCGGCCUUAGUGGCGCACGGGUGCGUAACGCGUGGGAAUCUACCCUUAGGUUCGGAAUAACAGUUGGAAACGACUGCUAAUACCGGAUGAUGACGUAAGUCCAAAGAUUUAUCGCCUAGGGAUGAGCCCGCGUAGGAUUAGCUAGUUGGUGUGGUAAAGGCGCACCAAGGCGACGAUCCUUAGCUGGUCUGAGAGGAUGAUCAGCCACACUGGGACUGAGACACGGCCCAGACUCCUACGGGAAGCAGCAGUGGGGAAUAUUGGACAAUGGGCGAAAGCCUGAUCCAGCGAUGCCGCGUGAGUGAUGAAGGCCUUAGGGUUGUAAAGCUCUUUUACCCGGGAUGAUAAUGGCAGUACCGGGAGAAUAAGCUCCGGCUAACUCCGUG
rnacentral:rRNA from 1 species